rnacentral:lncRNA from 1 species
UUGUUUUCUCUCUCCAUCUCAUUCCCGAUAGCAAGCAACAUAUAGAUAAAUAACAUUCAUACGCAUUGAUACGAGCAAGUGGUUCCCAUGGAGUAUCAUGGAUGUAAGGGGUGCUAAUACCUUCCCCUUAUAUAACCGACUUCUAAAUCCUCUCUUUGUUGCGAGACCAUUCUUCAUUUGGGGUUUUAUCACUAUUUUCC